GGAACCGGGUGUAAUUCCCGGACAGUGCCGCUACUGUGAAUCCUGAGCUAAGUCGAAGGAUAAGUCAGAAAAC
rnacentral:ncRNA from 1 species